rnacentral:rRNA from 1 species
CGGCAGGCCUAACACAUGCAAGUCGAGCGGAUGACGGGAGCUUGCUCCUUGAUUCAGCGGCGGACGGGUGAGUAAUGCCUAGGAAUCUGCCUGGUAGUGGGGGACAACGUUUCGAAAGGAACGCUAAUACCGCAUACGUCCUACGGGAGAAAGCAGGGGACCUUCGGGCCUUGCGCUAUCAGAUGAGCCUAGGUCGGAUUAGCUAGUUGGUGGGGUAAUGGCUCAUCAAGGCGACGAUCCGUAACUGGUCUGAGAGGAUGAUCAGUCACACUGGAACUGAGACACGGUCCAGACUCCUACGGGAGGCAGCAGUGGGGAAUAUUGGACAAUGGGCGAAAGCCUGAUCCAGCCAUGCCGCGUGUGUGAAGAAGGUCUUCGGAUUGUAAAGCACUUUAAGUUGGGAGGAAGGGCAGUAAGUUAAUACCUUGCUGUUUUGACGUUACCGACAGAAUAAGCACCGGCUAACUCUGUGCCAGCAGCCGCGGUAAUACAGAGGGUGCAAGCGUUAAUCGGAAUUACUGGGCGUAAAGCGCGCGUAGGUGGUUUGUUAAGUUGGAUGUGAAAGCCCCGGGCUCAACCUGGGAACUGCAUCCAAAACUGGCAAGCUAGAGUACGGUAGAGGGUGGUGGAAUUUCCUGUGUAGCGGUGAAAUGCGUAGAUAUAGGAAGGAACACCAGUGGCGAAGGCGACCACCUGGACUGAUACU